GACGAACGCUGGCGGCGUGCUUAACACAUGCAAGUCGAGCGAUGAAGUUCCUUCGGGAAUGGAUUAGCGGCGGACGGGUGAGUAACACGUGGGUAACCUGCCUCAUAGAGGGGAAUAGCCUUUCGAAAGGAAGAUUAAUACCGCAUAAGAUUGUAGUAUCGCAUGAUACAGCAAUUAAAGGAGUAAUCCGCUAUGAGAUGGACCCGCGUCGCAUUAGCUAGUUGGUGAGGUAACGGCUCACCAAGGCGACGAUGCGUAGCCGACCUGAGAGGGUGAGCGGCCACAUUGGGACUGGGACACGGCCCAGACUCCUACGGGAGGCAGCAGUGGGGAAUAUUGCACAGUGGGGGAAACCCUGAUGCAGCAACGCCGCGUGAGUGAUGACGGUCUUCGGAUUGUAAAACUCUGUCUUCAGGGACGAUAAUGACGGUACCUGAGGAGGAAGCCACGGCUAACUACAUGCCAGCCGCCGCCGUAA
rnacentral:rRNA from 1 species